UAUGAUAAAUACGAUAGUGUGCAAGGCCAUAGCAGUGGCUGCCACGUAGCUAUAAUGCAUUUAAAUAAGAACAUUUCAAUGUUUUCACAAUCGACUUAACAGAAGAACCUGAUCAACAUGGCAACUAUUCGCUUAGGACAAAUAUUAUUUUCUCGCGUUUCUAACACCAUUAGAAAACCGCAACAAUGCUCAUCUUUGAUCAAAUAUUAUUCUUCUCAAAUGAAAACUUAUGAAUUAAUAAAAGUAGAGACUACAGGAGAAAAAAAUAAUGUUGCCUUAAUUACUUUAAAUAGACCAAAAGCAUUAAAUGCUUUAUGCAAUCAGUUGAUGACCGAAUUAAAUGAAGUUAUUGGAGAGUUAGAUAAAAAUGAUAAUGUUGGAGCAAUUGUUAUCACAGGAAGUGAGAAAGCAUUUGCAGCUGGAGCUGAUAUUAAAGAAAUGGUUAAUAAUACAUACUCUCAUAGUAUGAAAGGAAAUUUUCUUUCAUUUUGGAACUCAGUUUCCAAAGUUGUUAAGCCAGUAAUUGCUGCUGUAAAUGGAUAUGCUUUGGGCGGUGGAUGCGAAUUAGCUAUGAUGUGUGAUAUUAUUUAUGCCGGAGAUAAAGCAAAAUUUGGUCAACCUGAAAUAGCUAUCGGUACGAUACCUGGUGCUGGUGGUACUCAAAGAUUAACUCGAAUUGUAGGAAAAAGUAAGGCAAUGGAAAUAGUACUUAGUGGAAAUCCUAUAACUGCUGAAGAAGCUGAAAAAUGUGGUUUGGUUAGUAAAGUAUUCCCAUCCGAUAAGGUUGUACAAGAAGCAAUUAAACUUGGUGAAAAAAUAGCUUCUCACUCGCAAUUAAUAGUAUCUAUGGCAAAAGAAUCUGUUAAUAUGGCUUAUGAGACUACAUUGCAAGAAGGAUUACACUUCGAAAAAAGAAUGUUCCAUGGAACAUUUGCCACGGCUGACAGAAAAGAAGGAAUGAUUGCUUUUACCGAAAAGCGUCCACCCAAAUUUACUAAUCAGUAAAUUUAUAAAAUUACAUAUUAAAACACACAAGGUGCUUCCAGAGUUUUAUACUACUAUAUACUCUUUAAUAGAAAUGCGCAAUUUUGAUAAGUACAUUUAAAUGAACAGUAGUAAAGUAACUUCAUACA
rnacentral:misc_RNA from 1 species